UCCAGCGGUGAUAGCACGUUGAAUGCACCACUUCCCAAUGGAUCAUUGACGUCAAGCAACUUUGUACGUGGUUCAUAUCCGGAUGGGCUACCAUCUGGGCCAUUACAUGCUGCUGGCU
rnacentral:rRNA from 1 species